rnacentral:rRNA from 1 species
UACAGAGGCCUCGAGCGUUAGGCGGAAUCACUGGGCUUAAAGCGUGUGUAGGCGGACUUCUAAGUACCUUGUGAAAUCCCACGGCUCACCCGUGGAACUGCUCGGUAUACUGGUCGUCUUGAGCCUUCUAGGGGCGAGUGGAACAAAUGUGGAGCGGUGAAAUGCGUAGAUAUCAUUUGGAACGCCAAUGGUGAAAACAGGUAGCUGGGGCUGUGCUGACACUGAGACACGAAAGCCAGGGGAGCAAACGGG